rnacentral:rRNA from 1 species
CUUGGUCAUUUAGAGGAAGUAAAAGUCGUAACAAGGUUUCCGUAGGUGAACCUGCGGAAGGAUCAUUAACGAGUUUUGAAAUGGGUUGUUGCUGGCCUUCCGAGGCAUGUGCACGCCCUGCUCAUCCACUCUACACCUGUGCACUUACUGUAGGUUGGUGUGGGUUUCUAGCCUCCGGGCUGGAAGCAUUCUGCCGGCCUAUGUACACUACAAACUCUAAAGUAUCAGAAUGUAAACGCGUCUAACGCAUCUUAAUACAACUUUCAGCAACGGAUCUCUUGGCUCUCGCAUCGAUGAAGAACGCAGCGAAAUGCGAUAAGUAAUGUGAAUUGCAGAAUUCAGUGAAUCAUCGAAUCUUUGAACGCACCUUGCGCUCCUUGGUAUUCCGAGGAGCAUGCCUGUUUGAGUGUCAUGAAAUUCUCAACCCAUAAGUCCUUGUGAUCUAUGGGCUUGGAUUUGGAGGCUUGCUGGCCCUAGCGGUCGGCUCCUCUUGAAUGCAUUAGCUUGAUUCCGUGCGGAUCGGCUCUCAGUGUGAUAAUUGUCUACGCUGUGACCGUGAAGCGUUUUGGCAAGCUUCUAACCGUCCAUUAGGACAAUCUUUCAACAUCUGACCUCAAAUCAGGUAGGACUACCCGCUGAACUUAAGCAUAUCAAUAAGCGGAGGA